GCAGAGGAAGGAAUGUGAAAUCACGGAACUGCUUCAAUGCAUCUCCACCACCUAGAACCUUCUAUAUGACUGCAAAGGAGAACGAGGAUGCCAUCUCCAUUCGGCAUGGCCACAUAGCCAGAUGAACAUGCUGCUACUAUGGAGAAUGACGGAUAGGCUGCAAAAUCAGGCCACGUGAAGUCUUUGCCACAGCUGUGACUUGGGAACAUACACUGAAGGGCUGAAGGAGAGGAAGCAGAGUGAAAACGUGGGCUGCUUUCAGGCUAAAUCAUCCACAAUUCAUCUGGCUCACAAUGCUAAUGCAGAGUUGGAGCCUGCACUGCGGAUUCUGACACAGGUGGUGAUGUGCCAUGGCGGGUCAAGGUCAGGAAACCAGAGGUGAAGAGGAUUUAAAAACAAGAACAAAACCAACCAAACACUGAAUAGACGAGUUAUCACCACGGGACCCAGGUGACAUCCGUGGUAAAAUGGUCCUGUCCUGGCAAACAAACUGGUGGUGCUUGUUGAGUUUUAAUAAAGCAAAUUAGCUUCUA